CCUACGGGGAGCAGCAGUGGGGGAUAUUGGACAAUGGGGGGAACCCUGAUCCAGCGACGCCGCGUGAGUGAAGAAGUAUCUCGGUAUGUAAAGCUCUAUCAGCAGGGAAGAAGAAAUGACGGUACCUGAGUAAGAAGCCCCGGCUAACUACGUGCCAGCAGCCGCGGUAAUACGUAGGGUGCAAGCGUUGUCCGGAAUCAUUGGGCGUAAAGAGUUCGUAGGCGGCAUGUAAAGUCAGGUGUUAAAGGCGCAGGCUCAACCUGUGUAUGGCACUUGAUACUUGCAAGCUGGAAUGCGGUAGAGGUAAAGGGAAUUCCUGGUGUAGCGGUGAAAUGCUUAGAUAUCAGGAGGAACAUCGGUGGCGUAAGCGCUUUACUGGGCCGUAAUUGACGCUGAGGAACGAAAGCCAGGGUAGCAAAUGGGAUUAGAUACCCCAGUAGUC
rnacentral:rRNA from 1 species